AUUGAACGCUGGCGGCAGGCCUAACACAUGCAAGUCGAGCGGAUGAAGGGAGCUUGCUCCUGGAUUCAGCGGCGGACGGGUGAGUAAUGCCUAGGAAUCUGCCUGGUAGUGGGGGAUAACGUCCGGAAACGGGCGCUAAUACCGCAUACGUCCUGAGGGAGAAAGUGGGGGAUCUUCGGACCUCACGCUAUCAGAUGAGCCUAGGUCGGAUUAGCUAGUUGGUGGGGUAAAGGCCUACCAAGGCGACGAUCCGUAACUGGUCUGAGAGGAUGAUCAGUCACACUGGAACUGAGACACGGUCCAGAGUCCUACGGGAGGCAGCAGUGGGGAAUAUUGGACAAUGGGCGAAAGCCUGAUCCAGCCAUGCCGCGUGUGUGAAGAAGAUCUUCGGAUUGUAAAGCACUUUAAGUUGGGAGGAAGGGCAGUAAGUUAAUACCUUGCUGUUUUGACGUUACCAACAGAAUAAGCACCGGCUAACUUCGUG
rnacentral:rRNA from 1 species